GCGAAGAGGUCACACCCGAUCCCAUCCCGAACUCGGUCGUUAAGCUCUUCAGCGCCGAUGGUA
rnacentral:rRNA from 1 species